rnacentral:rRNA from 1 species
UAGAUACCCUGGUAGUCCACGCAGUAAACGAUGAAUGUUAGUCGUCGGGAUGCAAGUCAUUUCGGUGAUGCAGUUAACACAUUAAACAUUCCGCCUGGGGAGUACGGUCGCAAGAUUAAAACUCAAAGGAAUAGACGGGGACCCGCACAAGUGGUGGAGCAUGUGGUUUAAUUCGAAGAUACGCGAAGAACCUUACCUAGCCUUGACAUUGAUAGAAUCUUCCAGAGAUGGAGGAGUGCCUUUCGGGGAACUUGAAAACAGGUGCUGCACGGCUGUCGUCAGCUCGUGUCGUGAGAUGUUGGGUUAAGUCCCGCAACGAGCGCAACCCUCGUCAUUAGUUACUAACAGUUCGGCUGAGGACUCUAAUGAGACUGCCUUCGUAAGGAGGAGGAAGGUGAGGACGACGUCAAGUCAUCAUGGCCCUUACGGCUAGGGCGACACACGUGCUACAAUGGUUAGGACAAUGAGAAGCGAUACCGCGAGGUGGAGCAAAUCUAUAAACCUAAUCUCAGUUCGGAUUGUAGUCUGCAAUUCGACUACAUGAAGCUGGAAUCACUAGUAAUCGUAGAUCGGCCAUGCUACGGUGAAUACGUUCCCGGGUCUUGUACUCACCGCCCGUCACACCGUGGGAGUUGAUUUCACCCGAAGCGGGGAAGCUAAACUGGCUACCCUCCACGGUGGAAUUAGCGACUGGGGUGAAGUCGUAACAAGGUA